rnacentral:rRNA from 1 species
UGGGGAAUCUUGGACAAUGGGCGCAAGCCUGAUCCAGCCAUGCCGCGUGGAUGAUGAAGGCCUUAGGGUUGUAAAAUCCUUUCGCCGAGGACGAUAAUGACGGUACUCGGAGAAGAAGCUCCGGCUAACUUCGUGCCAGCAGCCGCGGUAAUACGAAGGGGGCUAGCGUUGUUCGGAUUUACUGGGCGUAAAGCGCGUGUAGGCGGGUCGUUAAGUUGGGGGUGAAAUCCCGAGGCUCAACCUCGGAACUGCCUUCAAAACUGGCGACCUGGACCCAAAUAGAGGCAAGUGGAAUUGCGAGUGUAGAGGUGAAAUUCGUAGAUAUUCGCAGGAACACCAGUGGCGAAGGCGACUUGCUGGACUUGUGGUGACGCUGAGACGCGAAAGCGUGGGGAGCAAACAGGAUUAGAUACCCCCGUAGUCCCUGGAGCGGGCUGGCAAGGCGCAU